UACGAAGGGGGCUAGCGUUGCUCGGAAUCACUGGGCGUAAAGCGCACGUAGGCGGAUUGUUAAGUCAGGGGUGAAAUCCUGGAGCUCAACUCCAGAACUGCCUUUGAUACUGGCGAUCUUGAGUUCGGGAGAGGUGAGUGGAACUGCGAGUGUAGAGGUGAAAUUCGUAGAUAUUCGCAAGAACACCAGUGGCGAAGGCGGCUCACUGGCUCGAUACUGACGCUGAGGUGCGAAAGCGUGGGGAGCAAACAGG
rnacentral:rRNA from 1 species